AACUGGAUAGCCUAGUGCUCAAAGGCAGUGCUUCUAGAAAUGGUAUGGUCCCAGGUUUGAAUCCUGGUCUAGUCA
rnacentral:tRNA from 1 species